GCGCCCGUGGUGUAGGGCGAACAUCGCUGCCCGGCAAGCAGAAGAUGCGGGUUCGAGUCCCGCCCGACGCA
rfam:Heligmosomoides polygyrus genome assembly, scaffold: HPBE_scaffold0001889